rnacentral:tRNA from 1 species
AAUCUUUUAGUAUAUUUAGUAUAACUAAUUUCCAAUUAGUAGGGUUUAAAGGUUA